CAAUACCCAAAAUCGCGAUUUGCCCUAAUUGGUCUGUUCUUCAUUUCUUCUUGUCUCUGCUUCAAAUCGAAGAUCGGGGAUCUCAAGAUCAAUUUCUUUAGCUUUCUUCGUAUAUCACAGCAGGUUUACUUCUUUCAAGAUUGACGGCAAUAUCUUAGCGCUUCUUGUUGAAUUCGACUAGCUUUAUUAGAAAACACGAUAGCUGUAGUUUUCUUGGGUGACUGUCGUAGUAGUAUUUGGCUGUGAAGCUCGAAUAUUGAGAGAUGGAUUCGGAUGAGAUUGCGAAGACUCAGGAAGAGAGGAAAAAGAUGGAGCAGCAACUGGCUUCGCUCACUUCAGUUACCUUCGACACUGAUUUGUAUGGCGGCAACAAUCCAUUCGACGGGUACGAGAAGUCGAUUCCUGUAAACGAGGAAGAGGAGAUCGUGGAAUCCACGGAAUCGGAAUUCAGGAAGAAGUUGUCUUCAUAUACUGCUCCAAAAUCAAUCAUGAACGAAAUCCCUAAAGGCGGUGAGGAGGAGGAUUCCAUGGGUGGAUUUCAGAAGCCGCAGAGGAUUAUUGACAGAGAAGAUGACUACCGACGGAGGAGACUGACUCGUAUCAUCUCUCCAGACAGGCAUGAUGCAUUCGCUUCUGGGGACAAGACUCCAGAUAUUAAUGUGAGGACAUAUGCAGAUAUUAUGAGGGAUGAAGCUUUGAAAAGAGAUAAAGAGGAGACUUUAAGGUUGAUUGCUAAGAAGAAGAAGGAUGAAGAGGAGAAUAAGUCAUCUGAGAAGGAAAGGGAGCCGGUUGCUGCUUCUCAGCCUUCCCAGAAGAGGAGGAACAGGUGGGAUCAGAAUCAGAACCAGAACCCUAAUCAGAAUCAGGACGAUUCAAUUGCUAAGAAAGCAAAGAUGGAUUCCGAUUGGGACAUGCCCGAUUCCGCCCCUGGAGUUGGAAGUGGAAGAUGGGAUGCGACCCCUACACCAGGAAGAGUCAUCGGUGAUGCAACUCCAUCCUUAUCUAGAAGAAACAGAUGGGACGAAACCCCCACCCCCGGUCGAUUGGUUGAUUCAGACGUGACUCCAUCUGCUGGCGGUGCCACUCCUGGUGCCACCCCACACGGUAUGACAUGGGAUGCUACUCCAAAGCUGGGCGGUCUAGCUACCCCAACCCCAAAGAGGCAAAGGUCAAGAUGGGACGAAACUCCAGCCACAAUGGGAAGUGCAACUCCAAUGGCCGGAGCCACACCCACAGCUGCUUACACUCCUGGAGUAACUCCAAUCGGUGGAGUCGAACUUGCAACUCCAACUCCCGGUGCCAUCAAUCUUCGCGGUGCGAUCACACCCGAGCAGUACAACCUUCUUCGAUGGGAGAAAGAUAUUGAAGAAAGGAAUAGGCCAUUGACCGAUGAAGAACUCGAUUCAAUGUUCCCACAAGAUGGGUACAAGAUUCUAGAUCCACCUGCAUCUUACAUUCCCAUUAGAACACCUGCAAGGAAGCUUCUAGCUACUCCCACACCACUAGCAACUCCACUUUAUUCGAUCCCAGAGGAGAAUCGCGGUCAGCAGUUCGACGUUCCGAAGGAAUUGCCAGGUGGGUUACCGUUCAUGAAACCGGAAGACUAUCAGUAUUUUGCUCCGUUAUUGAACGAAGAAAACGAGGAGGAGUUAUCUCCUGAAGAGCAGAAGGAGCGUAAGAUAAUGAAACUUCUGCUCAAGGUGAAGAACGGGACGCCUCCUCAGAGGAAGACAGCUUUGAGACAGCUGACUGAUAAGGCGCGAGAGCUCGGUGCUGGCCCUUUGUUUAACCGCAUCCUGCCUUUGCUCAUGCAGCCUACUUUAGAAGAUCAAGAGAGGCAUCUUCUGGUUAAGGUUAUCGACAGGGUGUUGUAUAAGUUGGAUGAACUUGUUCGUCCCUACGUACACAAGAUUUUAGUCGUGAUUGAGCCUUUAUUGAUCGAUGAAGAUUAUUAUGCCCGUGUGGAGGGUCGUGAGAUCAUUUCAAAUCUCAGCAAGGCUGCAGGUUUGGCUACGAUGAUUGCUGCUAUGCGUCCAGAUAUCGAUAACAUAGACGAAUACGUGAGAAACACAACUGCAAGAGCUUUUAGUGUCGUCGCAUCAGCUCUCGGAAUUCCUGCUCUGUUACCAUUCUUGAAAGCAGUCUGUCAGAGUAAGAAAUCAUGGCAGGCACGUCACACUGGGAUUAAGAUCGUUCAGCAGAUUGCUAUUUUAAUAGGUUGUGCUGUCCUUCCUCAUUUAAGGUCACUAGUGGAGAUCAUCGAACACGGGCUGAACGACGAGAAUCAGAAGGUUAGAACCAUUACUGCGCUAUCGUUGGCUGCACUUGCCGAGGCUGCUGCUCCUUAUGGUAUCGAGAGCUUUGAUUCUGUAUUGAAGCCUCUAUGGAAGGGUAUUCGAUCACACCGUGGGAAGGUCCUCGCUGCGUUUUUGAAGGCAAUCGGUUUUAUCAUUCCUCUAAUGGACGCUAUAUACGCUAGCUACUAUACCAAAGAAGUCAUGGUGAUCUUGAUUCGCGAGUUCCAGUCGCCCGACGAAGAAAUGAAGAAGAUCGUUCUGAAAGUGGUGAAGCAAUGUGUGAGCACGGAGGGUGUGGAGGCUGAUUAUAUUCGUAGCGAUAUUCUCCCCGAAUUCUUCAGGAACUUCUGGGUGAGAAGGAUGGCGCUUGAUCGGAGAAACUACAGGCAGCUGGUGGAUACUACUGUAGAGAUAGCGAACAAAGUUGGAGUUGCGGAUAUAGUGGGGAGGAUAGUCGAGGAUUUGAAAGACGAGAGCGAGCCUUAUCGACGUAUGGUUAUGGAAACCAUCGAGAAAGUCGUUGCGAAUCUGGGUGCUUCCGAUAUCGAUUCUCGUUUGGAGGAGCUUCUCAUCGACGGUAUACUCUACGCGUUUCAGGAGCAGACUAGUGACGAUGCAAAUGUGAUGCUUAAUGGGUUUGGUGCGGUUGUGAAUGCUCUUGGAAUGAAGGUGAAGCCUUAUCUUCCUCAGAUAUGCGGUACGAUUAAGUGGAGGCUGAAUAACAAGAGCGCUAAGGUGAGGCAGCAGGCGGCAGAUUUGAUCUCGAGGAUUGCAGUUGUGAUGAAACAAUGCCAGGAAGAACAGCUGAUGGGUCAUCUCGGGGUCGUGUUGUACGAAUAUUUAGGGGAGGAGUAUCCAGAAGUUUUGGGGUCGAUUUUGGGAGCUUUGAAAUCUAUCGUGAAUGUAAUUGGUAUGACUAAGAUGACCCCUCCUAUUAAAGAUCUUCUCCCUCGAUUAACCCCGAUUUUGAAGAACAGACACGAGAAGGUGCAGGAGAAUUGCAUCGAUCUUGUGGGGAGGAUAGCAGAUCGAGGGGCAGAAUUCGUGCCUGCUAGGGAAUGGAUGAGGAUUUGUUUCGAGCUUCUCGAGAUGCUGAAGGCUCAUAAGAAGGGUAUUCGUCGUGCGACUGUCAACACUUUUGGUUACAUCGCGAAAGCGAUCGGUCCUCAAGACGUGUUGGCCACCUUGCUUAACAACUUGAAGGUUCAGGAGAGGCAGAAUCGUGUUUGCACAACCGUCGCGAUUGCGAUUGUGGCUGAGACUUGUUCACCCUUCACUGUCUUGCCGGCGCUGAUGAACGAGUACAGGGUGCCAGAGCUGAAUGUUCAGAAUGGAGUUUUGAAAUCGCUUUCGUUUCUGUUCGAGUACAUCGGGGAGAUGGGAAAGGAUUAUAUAUACGCGGUUACUCCUUUGUUGGAGGAUGCUUUGAUGGAUAGGGAUUUGGUUCAUAGGCAGACGGCGGCUUCGGCUGUGAAGCAUAUGGCUUUGGGAGUGGCGGGUUUGGGGUGUGAGGAUGCGUUGGUUCAUUUGUUGAAUUUUGUUUGGCCGAAUAUAUUUGAGACUUCGCCUCAUGUGAUAAAUGCGGUUAUGGAGGCGAUCGAGGGGAUGAGGGUUGCGUUGGGGGCGGCGGUUGUGUUGAAUUAUUGUCUUCAGGGGUUGUUUCAUCCGGCGAGGAAAGUUAGGGAGGUUUAUUGGAAGAUUUAUAAUUCGUUGUAUAUUGGUGGGCAGGAUGCUCUUGUGGCUGCUUAUCCGGUUCUCGAGGAUGAAGGAAGUAAUUCGUAUAGCAGACCGGAGUUGAUGAUGUUUGUUUGAAGAUGAGCUACCAAAAAACUUAUUUGGAUGGAUGGAUUGGAUGGAUAUAAGCUGACAAACCGCAGCCAAUGAAUUAUUAUUAUUUUUUUUCUAUACAAUGCUUGGUGGUGGUGGGUUGGAUACAGGAAAUUCGAAAUGACUAUGAUUUGGAUGGAUGGAUGGAUGGGAUAUAAGUGAGAAACUGCCAAUGAUUUAUCAUUUUUCUCUUCUAUACAAUGCUUGGUGGCAGAUUGGAUACAUGAAAAAAUCGAUUCAUCUUUAAAUAGUUAUAUAGGUAAUAAUCCCAACUGUUGUGGGAUUAUCUUGAGAUUUGGAGAGGUUGAAUUUGAUGAAACUCUCUUAUGUUUAUUGGACUUGUUUUUGUUCAAUGGCUUAUGCAAAUACUGUUUUUUUGAUCUAUUUUUGACACUAUUAUUCUUACUACUUAAACAUGUACUUGAUUUUCAUUA